rnacentral:tRNA from 1 species
GGAAUGUGGUGAAAUUGGUAGACACGAUGGAUUUAAAAUCCAUUGCUUAGUGAUAAGCGUGAGGGUUCAAGUCCCUCCGUUCCC